UAAAAGAUAAGCUAAUAAAGCUACUGGGCUCAUACCUCAUUUAUAAAGGUUUAAUCCUUUUCUUUUUA
rnacentral:tRNA from 1 species